rnacentral:rRNA from 1 species
UGAUUCGAGAAAUUGAUGCUAAUACCCCAUAUGCUUUCGAGUGAAAUGGAGUUUUCCGCCUAAAGAGAAGCUUGCGGCUGAUUAGCUUGUUGGUGAGGUAAUGGCUUACCAAGGCGACGAUCAGUAUCUGGUUUGAGAGGAUGAUCAGACACACUGGAACUGAGACACGGUCCAGACUCCUACGGGAGGCAGCAGUGGGGAAUUUUCCGCAAUGGGCGAAAGCCUGACGGAGCAAUCUCGCGUGAGGGAUGACUGCCUAUGGGUUGUAAACCUCUUUUU